UACCUUUAGGUACGGAACAACAGUUGGAAACGACUGCUAAUACCGUAUGUGCCCUAUGGGGAAAGAUUUAUCGCCUAAGGAUGGGCCCGCGUUGGAUUAGCUAGUUGGUGGGGUAAUGGCCUACCAAGGCGACGAUCUAUAGCUGGUCUGAGAGGAUGAUCAGCCACACUGGAACUGAGACACGGUCCAGACUCCUACGGGAGGCAGCAGUGGGGAAUAUUGGACAAUGGGGGCAACCCUGAUCCAGCCAUGCCGCGUGAGUGAUGAAGGCCCUAGGGUUGUAAAGCUCUUUCAACGGUGAAGAUAAUGACGGUAACCGUAGAAGAAGCCCCGGCUAACUUCGUGCCAGCAGCCGCGGUAAUACGAAGGGGGCUAGCGUUGUUCGGAAUCACUGGGCGUAAAGCGCACGUAGGCGGAUUGAUAAGUUAGGGGUGAAAUCCCGGGGCUCAACCUCGGAACUGCCUUUGAUACUGUCAGUCUUGAGUCCGAGAGGGUGAGUGGAACUCCGAGUGUAGAGGUGAAAUUCGUAGAUAUUCGGAAGAACACCAGUGGCGAAGGGGCUCACUGGCUCGGUACUGACGCUGAGGUGCGAAAGGUGGGGAGCAAACAGGAUUAGAUACCCUGGUAGUCCACGCCGUAAACGAUGGAAGCUAGCCGUCAGUAGCAUGCUAUUUGGUGGCGCAGUAACGCAUUAAGCUUCCCGCCUGGGGAGUACGGUCGCAAGAUUAAAA
rnacentral:rRNA from 1 species